rnacentral:lncRNA from 1 species
CUUUUCUCAAAGUCUUAUGAAGUCCAGAGAGCUUAAACAUUUGGACACAUUGAACUGGGGAAGAUUUCCUGCAUUACUGAGUCUGCUCACCCUCCUAUUUUGGGCAACCAGGUCAUAUGAACUCAUGAACUUUUCCUGUCACUGGAACAAUGGUUGUGCUCUUGUGAUUAGAGUGUUUCAGCAGAACAGCAAGCAAUGAUGCCUCUAUCUUACCAUGGUUUCCUACUAACAGGUGAGCAGUGUAGGAGAGACAUAUGGAGUGUCCUUAGAGGCAGGUUAUUCAUGCCUCUUCUUCAGACUGCUGGCACACUCCCUUCAGUAUGCCUCAUCUCACAAACCUAGGUAAGUAGGAAACCUAACCUGAUUCUAAAUGCAGAUAUUACAGAUGGCAUAUUUGUUUGGAAGAGUCUUUC